ACAACAAGACAAGGAAGACACAUUCUGAUGUCCUUCAUUCCACCGGAGUCUGUGUCCAUCUCUGAUCCAGAUUCCCAGUGAGAUGAAGCGCAUGAGAUGCGUCCAUGAGCAACGGAAGCAUG
rnacentral:pre_miRNA from 17 species